AGUAGAGUCAGCUAACAAAGCUAUCGGGCCCAUACUCUGAAAAUGAUGGUUUAACUCCUUCCUCUAUUA
rfam:Phalacrocorax carbo contig147270, whole genome shotgun sequence.